rnacentral:rRNA from 1 species
AUUGAACGCUGGCGGCAGGCCUAACACAUGCAAGUCGAGCGGAGCAGCGGACGGGUAAGUAAUGCCUAGGAAUCUGCCUGGUAGUGGGGGAUAACGUACGGAAACGGGCGCUGAUACCGCAUACUCUCAGAUUAGCCUGGGUCGGCUGAGCUAGUUGGUGGGGUAAAGGCCUACAAAGGCGAAGAUCCGUAACUGGUCUGAGAGGAUGAUCAGUCACACUGGAACUGAGACACGGGCCAGACGCCUACGGGAGGCAGCAGUGGGGAAUAUUGGACAAGGGGCGAAAGCCUGAUCCAGCCAUGCCGCGUGUGUGAAGAAGGUCUUCGGAUUGUAAAGCACUUUAAGUUGGGAGGCGUUACCAACAGAAGAAGCACCGGCUAACUUCGUGCCAGCAGCCGCGGUAAUUC